rnacentral:lncRNA from 1 species
UGUGAUCAAAUAAACAGAUAGAAUGACAGCCUUACUAGAUAUCCUAGGAGAUGAUGGACGGACCGGGUACAUAGAGAAUCCUACCGUGAAUGAUGUCUCAUACCGAACGGGUAUGGAGACUUGAUAAUUUGGCGUUCAUACCGGAUAGGGUAUGGGAAUGACCCGCUUCACCCUCAUACCGGACGGGGUAUUGAGGUUUAAUGUCUUGGCGCUUAUACCGGACGGGGUAUGAGGAUAGCC